rnacentral:rRNA from 1 species
GCAGCAGUGGGGAAUUUUGGACAAUGGGGGCAACCCUGAUCCAGCCAUGCCGCGUGAGUGAAGAAGGCCUUCGGGUUGUAAAGCUCUUUCGGCCGGGAAGAAAUCGGGUGGGUUAAUACCCUGCCUGGAUGACGGUACCGGAAUAAGAAGCACCGGCUAACUACGUGCCAGCAGCCGCGGUAAUACGUAGGGUGCGAGCGUUAAUCGGAAUUACUGGGCGUAAAGCGUGCGCAGGCGGUUGAUUAAGACAGGCGUGAAAUCCCCGGGCUUAACCUGGGAACUGCGCUUGUGACUGGUCAGCUAGAGUACGGCAGAGGGGGGUGGAAUUCCACGUGUAGCAGUGAAAUGCGUAGAGAUGUGGAGGAACACCGAUGGCGAAGGCAGCCCCCUGGGCCGAUACUGACGCUCAUGCACGAAAGCGUGGGUAGCAAACAGGAUUAGAUACCCUGGUAGUCCACGCCCUAAACGAUGUCAACUAGGUGUUGGGAGGGUAAAACCUUUUAGUACC